CAGAUAUCUGUAGAGGGUCCCUUCCCUUUAGGGCUCAUAUUUCCACACAUUCCUUGGUCUCAAAAGUUACAGAAAAGCCACUAUGAUGGUACAUCUGCCACAAACCGCAAGCUACAGAAGACUAAAGGGUUCAUGUGAACAGGAAACAAAGAAACCAUCAAUCUGCACCUCAGAGUUUCGGCUACCAUUUACCUUAUCACCACAGUGAUCAGAACAGUGAGAACAAG
rnacentral:lncRNA from 1 species